rnacentral:rRNA from 1 species
UAAAAAUGACUCUCGGCAACGGAUAUCUCGGCUCUCGCAUCGAUGAAGAACGUAGCGAAAUGCGAUACUUGGUGUGAAUUGCAGAAUCCCGCGAACCAUCGAGUCUUUGAACGCAAGUUGCGCCCGAAGCCAUUAGGUCGAGGGCACGUCUGCCUGGGCGUCUCAC